rnacentral:lncRNA from 1 species
AGCAGCAGCAACCCGGUCAGGUCCCCUUUUGUGCUGUGGAAGCUUUGUUCUUUCUCUGUUUGCAAUAAAUCUUACUGCUGCUCACUCUUUGGGUCUACGCCGCCUUUAUGAGCUAUAACACUCACCGUGAAGGUCUGCAUCUUCACUCCUGAAGCCAGUGAGACUACGAACAAACGCAUUGGGAGGGACGAACAAACGCAUUGGGAGGGACCAACAACUCCGGACAUGAGGAACAAACAACUCCAGAUGCGCUGUCUUUAAGAGCUGUAACACUCACAGCAAAGGUCUGCGCCUCACUUCUUAAGUCAGUGAGACCACAAACCCACCAGAAGGAAGAAACUCCGGACGCAUCUGAACAUCUGAAAGCACAAACUCUGGACACACCAUCUUUAAGAACUGUAACACUCACCGCGAGGGUCCGCAGCUUCAUUCUGGAAGUCAGCAAGACCAAGAACCCAUUAUUCCGGACACAAAGGGGCAGCUGCUGUAGCUGUGUCACCUGACAAGCAACCAGCGCCCCCGCUGCACAAAGCAGCAGCAGCAGCAGUUUCAGCACAGCCCAGAAACGAGUGUGCUUCCGGGGGAGUGGCUUGCAGGGGCAGGAUUCGGACUUAGAUUUGGGGGCCUAAUUUGUUUCCUUGCAAUCACCUGCCACCUUGGCCAGGCCGGGAUCCAGAGGUUAUUCUUCAGGUCCAGCCACUUCAGGUUCUUCAGCUGAGCAAAGCUGACGACAAGGUGACCAGCCUGUUGUUGAGGAGAGCCAGGUGCUGGAGGUUGACCAAACGGCCCAAGUCUGCUGUUCCAGGGAGAAGAUGUCCAUCUAUAAGAAAGUGGUCCCUCAGCAGACACUGAAUCUGCUGGUGUCCUGAUCUUGAAUAUACCAGCCUCCAGAACUGUAACACAUGCAUGGGUGCAAAACAUGCUUCUGUGUCAUCUCACAUAGUGUGGUCAACAGAGAACACCUGGGCAGAAGAUGAGAGGCUCCUGGGGACUGGUCUGAGACAAGGUGCUGUAAAAGAAAACCUAUAUUAAAGUGGUUGGAAGUGCACAGACUGGUUGCUUCACCUGCAGCCAGAAUGCAAGACAGGUGCAAGUCAUCCCUGAGGAAGUAGUGACCAGCUGUGGAUGCUACGCUGAGGCCCUUCUUUAAGAGUGAUCUGAUGGCACUGGAUGUCUGCUGAGGCUUGUGUCUAGAAGGAAUGAAAGGAUGUGCCAACAACAGCAGUUGUCUCCUCGUUUUCAAAGCUCAGGCCUCAUGGUAUCCCCUUCUCUUGGUUCUGUUUACUAAAACAUAUCAGUGCCUGACUAUGCCUGAAUGAUCCAUCUUCCUUAAGGCUGCUACACCAUAACUAGGAGCUUUAAAAAAAAGGGGGGGGCAUUUACUCUCUGAGGCACUCAAAAAAGCACAUGCUUUUAAUUGAGGGAUGGGGGUGACAAUGGAUCAUUCUGUUGAUUUUAACUAUCUCAUAUUUGUUAACAGCAUCAUUUCCAUGGAUAGCUUUCUGAAAGACUGCCUAUCCACUUAGAGGUGAGGAGAAGUAAUAGGGGAGGAAACCCUGCCGAGCUGCAAAAAGUUCUAAAUCCAGUCCUUUAAUUAUCUUGCUUAAAAUUCUUUAUUGGCUCUUUGAUACCCUCAGAAUAAAGCAAACUGCUUAAACAUGACUUACAAAGUAAUUGCUAUAGUUUGAAUAUUGUCCCCCAAAUCACAUGUUGAAAUUGAUUCCUAGUGUCAGAGGCGGGGACUGUGAGAGGUGUUGGGGUCAUGGGGCAUAUCUCUCAUGAAUAGAUUAAUGCUCUGUCAGCAUGGGGUGGGGUUGUGUGAGUUCUCACUCUUAUUAGUUCCCAAAGAGUUGGUUAUUCAAAAAGAGCCUGGCAUCUCCCUCCUUUUUGUCUCUUGCCUCCUCUCUCACGUGUGAUCUCUGUGCAUGUGCCUUUCCGUUGCCUUCCCCAUGAGUGGAAGUGGCCUGAAGCCAAUGCUGGUGCCAUGCUUCCUGUACAGUCUGCAGAACUAUGAGCCAAAUAAACCUAUUUUCUUUAUAAA